AUGGGAGUGGACUCUCGCACCUGGGGUAUCUCCUUCACCAAGGUAUCAGCAUGCUGCGGUUUUUGUUGGUGCACGAUUGCAUGUUACAGGAGGUGUCCUGAAGGGGGGACGAUCUGUAGAAAGUGAAGCAGCUGCUGCAGUGUUGGACACUGCUGCUGGUGUUUGGUUGGAUAAAAAUGGGCUUGUGACUUCCCCAAAAACCAGUAAGGGACAUACUGAAUAUGAUCCUGCAUUGGAGCUAAUGCGUCGUUGUCGCCAUGCAUCUGCUUCUGUUGGUGUUCGAAUAUAUGUUUAUGGCGGUCUGAG
rnacentral:misc_RNA from 1 species